rnacentral:snoRNA from 1 species
UUGGGUGAUGAAUUAUACGACUUGGGAUUCCUCAAACCGAACAUACUAUGUCGAUUACGUUGUAAACUAGUUUCAGCCUUGUCUGACA